rnacentral:lncRNA from 1 species
ACAUAUCAUAGAUUUACAUGAUUUCCAACACUCAAUUCUAUCUAACCCGACGACUUUGUUCUCCAACGCAGUCAAAUUUCCCAUCCAUUCCACAUUCAUCGCCUCAACCUUGAUCAAGUUCUGAUCCAUUUUCAAUUACAUCGACCUCAAUCUCUCCUGUAGAUGUUCACAUUCUACAACGACUCUCUUGCCCAACUCGAGCUCCUCGUCUUUAAUUCGAAGUUGAUCCUCGAGCGCACUCUUGCUGCAGAUAGCUUGCAUCAACUCUUAGUCCCUUUUAUCCAACUCCUCACCAAGAGCCCGAUUACUGGGGUUUGACCUCAACCACUAAUGCAUCUCG